rnacentral:rRNA from 1 species
AGAGUUUGAUCCUGGCUCAGGACGAACGCUGGCGGCGUGCUUAACACAUGCAAGUCGAGCGGAAAGGCCCUUCGGGGUACUCGAGCGGCGAACGGGUGAGUAACACGUGAGUAAUCUGCCCCUGGCUCUGGGAUAGCUCCGGGAAACCGGGAUUAAUACCGGAUAUGACCACUUGAGACAUCUUUUGUGGUGGAAAGAUUUUUUGGCUGGGGAUGAGCUCGCGGCCUAUCAGCUUGUUGGUGAGGUAACGGCUCACCAAGGCGACGACGGGUAGCCGGCCUGAGAGGGCGACCGGCCACACUGGGACUGAGACACGGCCCAGACUCCUACGGGAGGCAGCAGUGGGGAAUAUUGCGCAAUGGGCGGAAGCCUGACGCAGCGACGCCGCGUGGGGGAUGAAGGCCUUCGGGUUGUAAACCCCUUUCAGCAGGGACGAAGCGCGAGUGACGGUACCUGCAGAAGAAGCGCCGGCUAACUACGUGCCAGCAGCCGCGGUAACACGUAGGGCGCAAGCGUUGUCCGGAAUUAUUGGGCGUAAAGAGCUCGUAGGUGGUCUGUUGCGUCCGCUGUGAAAUCUCGGGGCUUAACCCCGGGCCUGCAGUGGAUACGGGCAGACUAGAGGUAGGUAGGGGAGAAUGGAAUUCCUGGUGUAGCGGUGAAAUGCGCAGAUAUCAGGAGGAACACCGGUGGCGAAGGCGGUUCUCUGGGCCUUACCUGACACUGAGGAGCGAAAGCGUGGGGAGCGAACAGGAUUAGAUACCCUGGUAGUCCACGCCGUAAACGUUGGGCGCUAGGUGUGGGAUCCUUCCACGGAUUCCGUGCCGCAGCUAACGCAUUAAGCGCCCCGCCUGGGGAGUACGGCCGCAAGGCUAAAACUCAAAGGAAUUGACGG